UACGGGGGGGGCAAGCGUUGUUCGGAAUUACUGGGCGUAAAGGGCGCGUAGGCGGCGGGGUAAGUCUGGUGUGAAAUCUCGGAGCUCAACUCCGAAAUUGCACUGGAUACUGCUCUGCUAGAGGGCUGGAGAGGAGAUCGGAAUUCACGGUGUAGCAGUGAAAUGCGUAGAUAUCGUGAGGAAGACCAGUGGCGAAGGCGGAUCUCUGGACAGCUCCUGACGCUGAGGCGCGAAGGCUAGGGGAGCAAACGGG
rnacentral:rRNA from 1 species